AACGAACGCUGGCGGCAUGCCUAAUACAUGCAAGUCGAACGAGAUCUUCGGAUCUAGUGGCGCACGGGUGCGUAACGCGUGGGAAUCUGCCCUUGGGUUCGGAAUAACUUCUGGAAACGGAAGCUAAUACCGGAUGAUGACGUAAGUCCAAAGAUUUAUCGCCCAAGGAUGAGCCCGCGUAGGAUUAGGUAGUUGGUGAGGUAAAGGCUCACCAAGCCGACGAUCCUUAGCUGGUCUGAGAGGAUGAUCAGCCACACUGGGACUGAGACACGGCCCAGACUCCUACGGGAGGCAGCAGUAGGGAAUAUUGGACAAUGGGCGAAAGCCUGAUCCAGCAAUGCCGCGUGAGUGAUGAAGGCCUUAGGGUUGUAAAGCUCUUUUACCCGGGAUGAUAAUGACAGUACCGGGAGAAUAAGCUCCGGCUAACUUCGUG
rnacentral:rRNA from 1 species